ensembl:lncRNA
AUAGUUCUGUUAAGAAACCUUAAACAGUGUAUUUCCCUCAAUAAUUUUUCAAUAAUAGAUUAACAUUAUCACUAAUACAACUUUGUAAAGCAAUUAUAUUCCAAUACAAAAAUAUCUUGCUUCUACUCUGCUGAAAGCAAUAAAAUUAUAAAUGCCUCCUACUAAGUUUUCAGAGAUUCUAAACAAUCCCCCUGCUCCUUCUAUUUUUUUUCUCAGCAUUAUUUUUUUUAAUUUAUUUAUUUUAAUUGGAGGCUGAAACAGGUAUUGAAUAAGUAAGGAGUCUGAAUAAGCAAGGGGUUUAUCACCUUCAUACAACCAGAAUUUAUUCCAGUGCUCAUAGUGUAGUUCAACAGUAUCAUAUAAGGUCUCAGCUCUCUCCUUCUUUCUCCAUCCUUAGUAUGUAGACCAACAUCCUCAGAGUUGCUGCCUCAUUGUUCCAAAUUGACUGGAAUAUCUCUGUUCAUGCUCUGAGCAUGGAAGGGAGUGUCAUAUCUCCACCCUACGUUGCUCACACAGAGGGACUAAAAUGCCAAAUAAGUUCUAGUGAGUGUGGUCGACUUGAAGAACAUUCAUAUCAUAAAUGUUGAGAGUUAUGUUUUAUUUGGUGGGAAUUUUUAGGACUUCAAGCCCGGAAACAGCAUUUCAGUAAUCUGAAAGAACUGCUCAGAGGGGGUGAGGGGAGGAGCCAGGUUACAUAGAGAUUUUGCAACAAAGGACAGGCAAUCUGAAUGUCAAAAGAUUAUUAUUAAUUGAAGAAAACAAGAUAUCCCAGGUUAAGGAAUUUAGCACUUUCUAAAAUGUAUGACAAGAGUCUGGGCUCAAUGUAAUCCUUCCUUUGAUAUACACCUCGGUUAUCUGGGGGCAGUACCCUGUCUUCACAUCUGAAUUUUCUCUGUGCUCACCAAAGGGAGUGACUGCAAUCUGAUGGCUGCUAGAUGGCAGGUAAUCUUCUUCCUGAGUUCCCUCAAGGCUUAACCAGCUCACUUUGGAGGGCUGCAAUCCAUGAUGACUGUGACAUCCUUGUGUUUACUGAUACGGCAGGAAAUACUCCAUUUCUCAGUGUGCUGUUAUCCAGUUCUGCAAAGCAUGUUCCUGUGUGCAAGGUUGUAUUUAUGAAGGGAGUGCAAGGCUAACAACUAAGUCUGUAGGCUGGGUUAAUGUAAAGAAUAAGAAUGGCUUAGAUUUUGCUGUAUAGUAGAAACUAUGCAACAUUGUAAAGCAGCUAUACUCCAAUAAAAAUAAGAUACCUAAAUAUCAGGGAUCAGAGUAUAAAAUAGAUUUUAAGAAAAAAUAGAAUGGCUUAGAUGUGGCAGGAUGCAUAAACAGAGGCACACUCCUAUUACAAAACUUGAUCAGAGCUAUUGUCUAGUGUCUGUAUUUGAGCUUAGAUUAAGCUGAAGGAUUACAAGAAUUAUACUCAUGGUAUAGAUCAGAGGAGCCUGAUUUUGUAAAUAAAGUAAUAUGGAACACAUGUAUACAUACUAUCUGUGGCUGUUUUUCUGAUAAAACAGCAGAGUUGACUAGUAGUCAAAGAACCCAUAUGGCCCAUAGAGCCUAACAUUUUUACUAUUUCCGUCUUUGCAGAAAAAGGUUGCUGACCACUGGUAUAGAUCAUACUUCUUGCUAUGUUUACAUCAGAUUACUUAAUGAUAGUCUAGGUAGACUUUAUAUGACACAUAAGGAAUUGUAAAUAUUGGCAACGCCUGCCCCAGCACUUGUCAGCGGGAUCAAGGAAUCAAGCUUUGGGACCCACAGUCUCCAUACAGAAGGUAAGUCGCUCUGGUGUGUACAACUGGAAACUUUAUUUCCUCUCCGUUUGAGGCUUAUUUUUUUUUCCUGAAAUAAGCCAAUUCGCUUUGUAUUUGAGUUGGGUACCCUGAUGGAGAGAGGAAAGAGCUGUUAGACUUUUACCGGAUUUACGAAACAGUUCAUUUUUUUCUUUGUAUGCUAGCAUUCGUGUGUGGCUUUUGUGUUUUGUCUUGAAUUUCGGUCUAUAAAAAUGGGGACUGUUUCAACAAGUUCUAAAGAAAGUCAUUUGAUGUUCUUUUGGAUACGUGAUUUGAUUAUAUUUAUGAACCUAUCCGUGAGAGGAAGAUGCUAUUUUAACAAUGUGUGGUUAUAGUACCUUUAGGAUCUCCACAGGGGGUUUAGGCAGGGUUAUCUUGGACCCUUUGUACCACAUAUGCCUACCCUUGCUGUGUUAAUUACAUCACUUGUGGACUCCUGUGUCAUUGGUAUAUAUAAAGCCCCAAGACCAAACUCGAAGGUUUAUUUAGGAUUUUCUGUUUGUCAUUUGGAGUUUUUGUUUCCUUUUGUUUGGUACUAUUUCCAUUUACAGCCAAAUCAAUUUUGUGAUAUUUAAAACUUUU